rnacentral:rRNA from 1 species
UACAGAGGGUGCGAGCGUUAAUCGGAAUUACUGGGCGUAAAGCGUGCGUAGACGGCUAUCUAAGUCGGGGGUGAAAGCCCCGGGCUCAACCUGGGAAUUGCAUUCGAGACUGAAUAGCUAGGGUACGGUAGAGGGAAGCGGAAUUUCCGGUGUAGCGGUGAAAUGCGUAGAUAUCGGAAGGAACAUCAGUGGCGAAAGCGGCUUCCUGGACCAGUACCGACGUUCAGGCACGAAAGCGUGGGGAGCAAACAGG